UCCUACGGGCGGCUGCAGUGGGGAAUAUUGCACAAUGGGCGCAAGCCUGAUGCAGCGACGCCGCGUGAGGGAUGACGGCCUUCGGGUUGUAAACCUCUUUCAGCAGGGAAGAAGCGAAAGUGACGGUACCUGCAGAAGAAGCGCCGGCUAACUACGUGCCAGCAGCCGCGGUGAUACGUAGGGCGCAAGCGUUGUCCGGAAUUAUUGGGCGUAAAGAGCUCGUAGGCGGUCAGUCGCGUCUGCUGUGAAAACUCGAGGCUCAACCUCGGGCUUGCAGUGGGUACGGGCUGACUAGAGUGCGGUAGGGGUGACUGGAAUUCCUGGUGUAGCGGUGGAAUGCGCAGAUAUCAGGAGGAACACCGAUGGCGAAGGCAGGUCACUGGGCCGCAACUGACGCUGAGGAGCGAAAGCAUGGGGAGCGAACAGGAUUAGAUACCCUGGUAGUCG
rnacentral:rRNA from 1 species